UACGUAGGGUGCAAGCGUUGUCCGGAAUUAUUGGGCGUAAAGAGCUCGUAGGCGGUUUGUCGCGUCUGCUGUGAAAUCUGGGGGCUCAACCCCCAGCCUGCAGUGGGUACGGGCAGACUAGAGUGCGGUAGGGGAGAUCGGAAUUCCUGGUGUAGCGGUGGAAUGCGCAGGAUAUCAGGAGGAACACCGGUGGCGAAGGCGGAUCUCUGGGCCAGUAACUGACGCUGAGGAGCGAAAGCAUGGGGAGCGAACAGGA
rnacentral:rRNA from 1 species